rnacentral:rRNA from 1 species
UACAGAGGCCUCGAGCGUUAGGCGGAAUCACUGGGCUUAAAGCGUGUGUAGGCGGACUUCUAAGUACCUUGUGAAAUCCCACGGCUUACCCGUGGAACGGCUGGGUAUACUGGGAGUCUUGAGCCACCUAGGGGCGAGUGGAACAAAUGGUGGAGCGGUGAAAUGCGUAGAUAUCGGGAGGAACACCUGUGGCGAAAGCGGCGCACUGGACCAUAACUGACGCUGAGGCGCGAAAGCUAGGGGAGCAAACAGG